GGGGGCGAUUCGGAUUCGACGACGGUAUCAAACCCUGAGGUGCAUGCCGAGGACGUAGUGGUUCUCGUUAAUCAAAACACUACAAACCUUCUAGUUGCCAAUGAAAGCGACUACGAAGCUGUAGCUUUUGCUGCUUAAUCGUAACUAAACACUACGAAGCUUCCAGUCUGUCCGGUUCGUUCGCUGGCCGGUUUUUCAGACUGUCAUCGUAAGCGGACUCGCCACGUUCAGCAGUCUUCUGGCUAACGGGCUAAAACUUGUGAAGAUCGCUUUGUAGAACCCCGACCACUGGGUCGUUACAGAGUUAAAUUUAAAGGUGGAUCUAAGCAUGUAGAGCCAAAGGCUGCGAAUCGGCGGACGCGGGUUCAAAUCCCGCCGCCUCCACCA
rnacentral:tmRNA from 2 species